GGAACCCUAUGGUCCGUUGCAAGAAGUGUGACUCCAAGGCAGACAAAAAGACACGUUUCAGGUGUCACAGCUGCCGCCAACCUGUUUGCCCGAGCCACUACUUCCCCUACUGCUGUGAUUGCAUAUAAGGCUGAGUUCCCGCAUCCCCCGUGCCUUGAUGACCCCCUGGGAUGAGAGCCUGACAUCCUUGGAAGCGUGUGGGAGCAUCUGAGCGAUUUUUUGGGGAGGGUUUUUUUUUGCUUAAUUUUUUUGCAAAAACAUUCAAAUUUUUUCACUUUUUUACAUUCCUUUCUUUUUGCUUUUUAAUUCAAGUUUCUGAAAGUAAGUAUUCUAAUUUAAUAGUUUCAUUACUAGGUAAUAGGGUUAUAUUUAGUGUGUAAGGGAUAGGAUUAAUAAAUUUGCAUAUUUAC